rnacentral:lncRNA from 1 species
AUAAUUCACUAUUUCAGGAAUGAAUUACAAUGAGUACAAUAGGGAGGAGCUCAUCUCCACUCACCUCUCAGCACUCUCUCAUCUCUCACCAUCUCACUGUUUGUUCUCUCCUCUCACAGCUCACCAAUUCUAGCCCACUCUCUGUCAGAUCUCUGGUGCUCUCACUAGCACCAUAACACUCCCCCCAAAUACAUAACCCUCUCUCCCAGCCCCCUCUGCACACAGC